GCUCAAUAUACCACCUCAAUUAUGUAGACAGAUUCCACCAUUUAACUGAAUGGUAUUGGAUGUUGAGCACACAUAAUAAAGGUCAAAAAUGUGUGUAAUGUAAAUGCUUUACAUUAUUAACUUUGCUUUGUACUGAAAAAAAACUGAACUACCUUUCAACGUGCUAAAUGUAUUCUACAAAGUUAACUUUCUUAGAAAGACAUUCUGCCUACCUAGACACAAUAUUGUAAACAAAGAAUACUAAUUUAGAAGUAUUUAGUUUUACGAUUCCAGGGUUCAAACCGAAGAAUUCUGCAAUCUAGGCAUUCACGCUACAACGAGAAUAAACGGUUCUGCUGCGUUGAGUGGUUGCUAUUUUGAACAUAAUAUUACUUUUCCAUGUGAUUUCAACUAUUUCAAAAGAAUGCAGCAAAA
rnacentral:lncRNA from 1 species